CUGGCUCAGGAUGAACGCUAGCGGCAGGCCUAACACAUGCAAGUCGA
rnacentral:rRNA from 1 species